rnacentral:rRNA from 1 species
CGGCACGGGUGAGUAACACGUAUGCAACCUGCCUGCCACAGCCGGAUAAUCGGGAGAAAUUCCGUCUAAUACGGCAUAAUGCAUCGACGGGACAUCCUGUUGGUGCCAAAGGUUGACUCCGGUGGCGGAUGGGCAUGCGUCGCAUUAGUUAGUUGGCGGUGUAACGGACCACCAAGACGACGAUGCGUAGGGGUUCUGAGAGGAAGGUCCCCCACACUGGUACUGAGACACGGACCAGACUCCUACGGGAGGCAGCAG